UACGUAGGGUGCAGGCGUUAAUCGGAAUUACUGGGCGUAAAGCGUGCGCAGGCGGUUUCUUAAGUCAGAUGUGAAAGCCCCGGGCUUAACCUGGGACUGCGUUUGAAACUGGGAGACUUGAGUGUGGCAGAGGGGGGUGGAAUUCCACGUGUAGCAGUGAAAUGCGUAGAGAUGUGGAGGAACACCGAUGGCGAAGGCAGCCCCCUGGGCCAAUACUGACGCCUCGAUGCACG
rnacentral:rRNA from 1 species